GGAGAGAAAGAAGGCUCCGCACUUAGGAGCGCUGAGUGCUCUUCCAGAGAAACUGGGGUUCGAUUCCCAGCCACCACGUACCAAAGGACCUCAUACCCUCUUCUGGCCUCCACAGGCACUGGACAGCAAUGGCCUGUGUCAUGCCCAAGGACAGAGUUUGACAACCCAUAUAAAGGUUUAGGGCUGGAGAGCAAUUUCCAGUAAAGUCCUCCAAACGCCUGUGGCACCACAUUUCCACUUCAGAAACGGAAGACUCACUCAGCCUAUCCAAUGAGCCAGUCUUGAGAAAUGGGGCUCAGGUACUUGCCAGGAUCAAGGUGCCGUCUCUGCUGUCCAGCUCGACCUCCUAGAGGGGGGAGAAGGAAGGAAGGACGGACGGACGGACGGACGGACUCAGGAUGCUUGUUACUGGAAUUGGGGAAAACAGUGUAAGGACCAAGGAGUGCUCUACCUCAUCUGUUCUAGCGCUGGACUAGAAGCAUCUGCCCAUCUUGAUAUCUGGAGACUUCCAGAGUACAUCUAUGACCAGGGACGUUCUUUUCCUGGUGUGGGGCUGAUGUGGCAUCUUCCCAAGGGUACCCACUGGUUCUGCUUUAUGCUUGGACUGUUGAAGUGUAGCACACAGUAGGUACUCAAUCAAUGCUUGGGUGUGUGUAUUUGGGGAUAACUACCUGGUGGAUAAAUGAGUCAAUCUCUUCCCCUGCCAGGAGAGGCAACCUGGUUUAUAUGUCCCUGCUGUUUGCUGUGUCCAUGGGCAAGUCUCACCUUCCUCAGUUUUCCUCUGAAUCACGAGGGAGUUGGUAUGGUGUCCAUGGGGUCCUUUAUAAACCUUCCUUAUCCCCAUCCUGAUGAGUUAUGAGCAGUACCCUACAGGUCUGCCCUAAUAGCCUGGCAUGGCCCAGCCCCACAGGCUCCUUAGGGCAGGCUAGGAGAGACUAGCCUAAGCAGAGACAGGUCUGUCUGGGUAGCUCUGUUGUCUGCAGAGGCCUUUGAAGACCACUGUUUUAGCUUUGGCUAUAGCAGAGACAGACCGCAGCCUGGUCACUGGGCUAUGCUUACAUUACAGUGGGGAUGAGCAGGGCUUGGUGGGUACAAUGAGAUGCCUCCUUGUUAGCUCUCAUGGAACUCCUGUCCAGGUAGGGUCUGGGGCUUACUUCAUCCUACCUAGAGUCAGCUUAGGGAGUAUGGAAGGUCAAGGGGACCUAGGGUCCCAACCCAGGUGGUGUGGAAAGGGCAGCCAAGGGUAGUGACAGGUCCCAAGCAUAGGUGGUCAUUACCAUGACAAGGACCUCCUCACUAGACUGGUCAGGGCUACCAAGCCUGGCUUGAUUUCCUCAGUUGAUCCCAAUAGAAGACAAGGUUCUUGGAGAUUUUCUGUGCACCUAGGACCAGCUGGGACCUGCAUUGUUCACAUUACACCCAGAGACCAGCUAUUUGCAGAAAACACAGCAGUGACACACAAGGGCCAACACACAGUGGGUACGCAGAGGUAUGGGGAAGUGGCUGCUGGGCUUGUUCUGUUAGGUCAGGAGAGAGGGUAGCACCAGGGAUACCCUCCCCAGGGAUGCCCAAGGUGCCUCAAGUCCUCAGCCUCUGGUGGCAGAACCUGAGACGUAGCCCUGAGAAGAAUUCCUGUGUACUGGAUCUUGCCCUGUUUCAGUUGCUGUGCCCAGAGACAGGUCUAUCAGCUGUGUGAACAUGAGGUGGAUGCAAAGAAAAGGGUCUGUCAAACGCACAAGAUCAACUGUUUAUUGAUUUGUUCUUCUUCUAAAAUACUAUACAUUUAAAGGACUUUCUAAACAUUAAGGACUAUAGCUGAGGAACAAGGAUUUCUGCUGGUAAGUUGUCAUGACACAUAGCCACAGUGACAGGGCGCUCAUGGCAAACACUGAGAAACACAAGCUGCUGAUGUGCAACACUGCACACGGUCUGAGCUAACAAAAUAAAGGCCCUCCCCGAGCCCAUCCCUGGGGCUCAGAGCAGUUCCACUGUACUGGAGGACAAGGGUACCUGGAGGGACGUGUGCUGGGGGUAGAACCCCUCGAACUCUCCAGUGAGUGGCACAGGACUGUGAAGCCUGUGACGACAGCAAAGACCUGGGAGCUUUUCCAGUGCUCUGCCAUGGAGCUGGAGCUCUGACCAGUGAGAAUCAGUCUUCUCAGCAGCCUCCACUCAGAGGCCAGAGCCACAUCUUAACUGGGAGGCGGCUGUCGGCCAGCCAUGCCUGUCCUCAAUGCCAUGGGCUUCAAGCAGGUGACAAUACCUGCUGUCAGAAGCCACCAACUCUCAUUUCAACAGUAGGUGAACUUUAUAGAUUCUCUGAAUAUCAAAUAAUAUAUACAGAUAUACAUCAAGACAUGAGUCUAAUGUAAAGCAUCUUAAUCUACAGAUGUAGCUGCUUUGAAAAGUUAGUCUUCUUUUAACUUUCCAAAUCACUAAUAAAACUGUUAAUCUGCAAAAACUGAAGCAAGAAUAGAGUGAAAAUAAUGGUGAUGUUGGGGAAUGCUGCAAAACGUUACCCCUGCAACUGGCACUUGCCAUGGAACCCCUGCUACAGCAACCCCACAUCUGGACAAAGCAGAGAAAUGAAGACACCUUACAUAGAGAACAUCUCGGAUCAAUCUAGGCCAUAAUUUACGUGACUGGAAGAGCAUAUAAAAAAGUAUAACUGUACAUUGCCUUUAAAUUAAAAACUCAAACUCUUUACUCAGAAAAUGGCGUUGAAGUCUGUUCACUGAACUUGCAGGUAGGGACUCAUCAGAGAAAAUAAUCAGUGGAACAAGAAUCAGUGUGAUCCGUCAUUGACUCAGGAGAGGCAAGGGCAAGAAGGUGCAGAUCCAUGAUACAGAGAGCUGGUAGGGGUAGGGAGGGGCUUGGCUUUUGCUGUUGGAUCAUGUGUUUCUUCCUGUGCCUAGAUCUGCCCAGAUGUGCUUGGAAAGGGGCCAAGUCCCCAGUGAAAUCACCAGCUCAUCUGCCUUCAAAAUACACCAGGAAGCCAAGAACAACAGAACCAUCAUCUUUUGCAGGUGGAGUGGAUGCCUAGACGGCUGCUGGGGGAACUAGAGGUGUCGCUGCACAGGCCAAGGCUAACGGAGCUCCUGAACUGCCCACUUCCGUCUCUCCACCAGC